CUACCCACACUCCCCUCAGACCCUCCCCCACCCACACUCCCCUCAGACCCCCUCCCUGGCUCUGGCUCAGCUCUGCCUUGCUCCUAGCCUGCCAGUGCAGCCAUGAGGGGGCACUCAGCAGUCUCUGUGAAAAGACCAGUGGGCAAUGUCCCUGUCGAACUGGUGCCUUUGGGCUUCGCUGUGACCGCUGCCAGCGUGGCCAGUGGGGAUUCCCUAGCUGCCGGCCAUGUGUCUGCAAUGGGCAUGCAGAUGAGUGCAACACCCACACAGGCGCUUGCCUGGGCUGCCGUGAUCACACAGGGGGUGAGCACUGUGAAAGGUGCAUUGCUGGUUUCCAUGGGGACCCACGGCUGCCAUAUGGGGGCCAGUGCCGGCCCUGUCCCUGUCCUGAAGGCCCUGGGAGCCAACGGCACUUUGCUACUUCUUGCCACCGGGAUGAAUAUUCCCAGCAGAUUGUGUGCCACUGCCGGGCAGGCUACACGGGUGAGUGGAUGGGGGCAGGCAUGGGAUCAGGGUGAGUUGACUGGGCUGAGCACUCACAGCUUCCUCUUGACCGUGGGCAGGGCUGCGAUGUGAAGCUUGUGCCCCUGGGCACUUUGGGGACCCAUCAAGGCCAGGUGGCCGGUGCCAACUGUGU
rnacentral:sRNA from 1 species